CCCCUCUCAGGGUCACACCUGAAGACUUCCCAGUACUCUACCAGUCUUGGCUAUGGGAGGGAGAGUCAAGCAGAGGCCUAUCCAUUCCUUGCCUAGCUUGGGCGGUGGCUAGCGAGUGGAAGGCAAUCUGCUACAAGU